GAUGAAGAACGUAGCGAAAUGCGAUAAGUAAUGUGAAUUGCAGAAUUCAGUGAAUCAUCGAAUCUUUGAACGCACAUUGCGCCCUCUGGUAUUCCUGGGGGCAUGCCUGUUCGAGCGUCAUUACAACCCUCAAGCUUUGCUUGGUAUUGGACAUUGCCAGUUUCUGGCAGGUCUUAAAAUCAGUGGCGGUGCCAUUUGGCUUCAAGCGUAGUAAUUCUUCUCGCUUUGGAGAUCCAAGUGGUUACUUGCCAAUAACCCCCAAUUUUUUCAGGUUGACCUCGGAUCAGGUAGGGAUACCCGCUGAACUUAAGCAUAUCAAUAAGCGGAGGA
rnacentral:misc_RNA from 1 species